rnacentral:lncRNA from 12 species
CUUCUCUUGGGUUUCUGAACCCUCCAGCUCCUCUUCCACCCUGCAUCUUUGCUUUUUGCAGGAGCUGCCAGAUGUCAAAUUGCUUCAUAUUCUGCGGCUUCGAGAUCCAGGCAAAUGUCCACGAAGGAGAGGAUCGUAACCACCAAGACUCAGUGUGAACGCAGGGCCCUGGAUUCUGUUGUGGCAGUAACGGAUUCUCUGGUCAUCUGGAAACGGUGCAGAAUUGCUACAUCUGGAUACAGAGGGAAGUCAUUGUUGGCGACCAAUAGCAUCCUUCCUUUCCACCUGCUCCAAGACUCCCAGCUGCUGAGUAAAGAAGAGGAAGAGGUUCAGAGUUGGCUUGUAAAACAGGCCGACCUUGUUUAGACGUAGUUGAACUCCCAGAUCUCUUUCCCCACAACCCCUCCUGGACCCAAGGACUCUGUUUCCAACUGCCAAACCCAUACUAAGCUUCAGGAGACAAUAGCUUUCUGUUAGGAAAGCCUGACUUGGAAGUUGGGGACCAGAGACUGAUGUUUUGAAGUGAAAAUCAGUCCUCAAACUGUCCCUGGGGGUAGGUCCUGAGAGUGGAGGUGACAUAAUGAAGGCAUCCAAUUAAAGUGGCGUUUACUGGAGAAAGCUCCGACUUCUGAGUAGCUCACGCCGUAUGUCAUAUAAUCUCAAAUGCAGAAAGAACAUGCUGGAAUCAUUACCUUCAGACACGAGUUUCCCUGGUAGGACAAGGUCUAAGGCCAGGACGAAAAGAUCAUUUUCUCCUGAAAUCUGCCUAUCUCAUUAGCCUUUUCAUGGGUGAUAUAACUUCUCCUUCCCUCCAAAUAUGCAGGGGUCCCAUGGCUAUCACUACUGAGCAUGCCAUUUCCAUUAUUGUUAUAAAUUAUGAGCCAAGCCCCUGGAGGCCUUUGUCCCAAGUUACAGAUACUUAUCGAAGAUGAACUAUUAUAUGACAGCACAAGGAAAAAUGAGCUUUAGGAAGUAAAACUAACAGAUUUUUUAACAACCAUUAAUCCAUCCAGCAUCUGUAAUACAGGUAAUUCCCAUAAAGUGGAGUACAUAGUUCACAUGGAUUAUUCCUGAAUUUAUCACACACACACACACACACACACACACACACACACACACACACAUCUUUUCAAAUAAGACCAUCAGUUUAAUAUUCUAAUUUUGAUUAAUGAUUUCAGUUUGUUUUUCUUAGCUUUUUUCCUGAUUUUUUUUUCAAUAGAAUUUCAGAGUUAUAUUUACUCUGAUUGUUACUAGUUUUUGUUCUUUUCUGGUUUAGAAUCUGAAACGCAGGGACAUCUGGGUGGCUCAGUGCUUGAGCAUCUGCCUUUGGCUCAGGGCAUGAUCCUGGAGUCCUGGGAUUGAGUCCCCCAUCGGGCUCCUCGCAGGGAGCCUGCUUCUCCUUUUGCCUGUGUCUCUACCUCUCUGUAUCUCUCAUGAAUAAAUAAAAUCUUUUAAAAAAUGAUCUGAAAUGC